rnacentral:rRNA from 1 species
AUUGAACGCUGGCGGCAGGCCUAACACAUGCAAGUCGAACGAGUGGCGGACGGGUGAGUAAUGUCUGGGAAACUGCCCGAUGGAGGGGGAUAACUACUGGAAACGGUAGCUAAUACCGCAUACCAUCGGAUGUGCCCAGAUGGGAUUAGCUAGUAGGUGGUGUAACGGAUCACCUAGGCGAAGAUACCUAGCUGGUCUGAGCGGAUGACCAGCCACACUGGAACUGAGACACGGUCCAGACUCCUACGGGAGGCAGCAGUGGGGAAUAUUGCACAAUGGGCGCAAGCCUGAUGCAGCCAUGCCGCGUGUAUGAAGAAGGCCUUCGGGUUGGAAAGUACUUUCAGCGAGGAGGCGUUACUCGCAGAAGAAGCACCGGCUAACUCCGUGCCAGCCGCCGCGGUAAUAC